CUACGUGCCAGCAGCCGCGGUAAUACGUAGGGUGCGAGCGUUAAUCGGAAUUACUGGGCGUAAAGCGAGCGCAGACGGUUACUUAAGCAGGAUGUGAAAUCCCCGGGCUCAACCUGGGAACUGCGUUCUGAACUGGGUGACUAGAGUGUGUCAGAGGGAGGUAGAAUUCCACGUGUAGCAGUGAAAUGCGUAGAGAUGUGGAGGAAUACCGAUGGCGAAGGCAGCCUCCUGGGAUAACACUGACGUUCAUGCUCGAAAGCGUGGGUAGCAAACAGGAUUAGAUACCCUGGUAGUCCACGCCCUAAACGAUGAGUGCUAAGUGUUGGUCUCAUAAGAGAUCAGUGCUGCAGCUAACGCAUUAAGCACUCCGCCUGGGGAGUACGACCGCAAGGUUGAAACUCAAAGGAAUUGACGGGGACCCGCACAAGCGGUGGAGCAUGUGGUUUAAUUCGGAGCAACGCGAAGAACCUUACCAAGUCUUGACAUACUG
rnacentral:rRNA from 1 species